GACGUAGAGCGCGAGCGUUGUCCGGAUUUAUUGGGCGUAAAGAGCUCGUAGGCGGCUUGUCGCGUCGUUCGUGAAAACUUGGGGCUCAACCCCAAGCUUGCGGUCGAUACGGGCAGGCUAGAGUUCGGUAGGGGAGACUGGAAUUCCUGGUGUAGCGGUGAAAUGCGCAGAUAUCAGGAGGAACACCGGUGGCGAAGGCGGGUCUCUGGGCCGAUACUGACGCUGAGGUGCGAAAGCGUGGGGAGCAAACAGG
rnacentral:rRNA from 1 species